GGGGCGGGGCGGGGGCCGUACAAACGCGCUGGCGGCGGGCGCCGGGCGCCGCUUCCAGGCGGGUGAGGCGGGCGGCAGCGGGCGCUCCAUCCGCCGCCACUGCUGCUUCUACCACCGGGAGCGCUUCCCACGGCUGAGGUACCCGCGGGCGCCCAUGGCACAGCACGGCGGGUGCUGCCCCACGGCUCCGCGCCCCGGCGGUGAGUGAUGCGCGGGGGUCCCGCGGAACGUUUGGGAUGCGGGCUGCUGGGCGAGAGCGGAACCCCGCUCGCUGAGGCAGCCUUCGGGAGGCAUCGCUGUCGUGGAGCGGGGCGGGGGAGAGAGUGGGAAGAAAGUGGGGUACGCGGCCAGUAGGUCUGUUCCGAUCUGACCCCUGGGCAGUCUGAUUCUUUAGCUCCCGGUAGGUGAUGUGUCGGAGCGACGGAGGCACGGCAGGCGGAGUGCCGGGCGUGGGAGCGGCGUGGCGGAGCGCAGGGCUCCUAGCUGACGGCAGGGCAGCUCGCGUUGCUCCGUUCAGCAUCUCUGUUCGUUCCCACGGCGGGCGCUGGAACCGGGCAGGUGCAGCGCGCCCAGCUGGAGGACGGGAUGGGCGCGGGGCAGAACCUUCCCUGGAGCCCACUUCUGUUUUGCCUGUCAUAGGUGAGCUGCCCGGAAUAGAACAGCGCAGGCAUAGGGCACUGCUGGUCUCAGCGUGUUCCAGGGCUAAGGAUGAGAGAGGUUCAAAUUUUGGGGGAUGAAAAGAUGCUGGGAGGCUGCGGUGGCAGUCUUGAUCUGCUCUUGUUUUUCAGUCCUUGAUGAGGGAAAAGCUCCCAGCUAGAUACAAGCAAUUACACCAGCUUCGUUGGCUGGGAGGUAAUGUAGAGGGCUCUUCUCCCUGUGCAGUAAGUUGAGGGCUUUCUCUGUUCCAAGACUGUUCCUCUUUGGGGGAGCAAAAAUAUCUGGGAAGUCCCCUGAAUACCAGUCUUGAGUGGUGUGGGGAUGGGGUGCCUGCAGGGACAUCCUCUUGGCACGGGAGACCCCUUCACUGCCUGCUCUCACGGUGAGCCUCUGCAGUGUGUGUGGCGAGUCGUGCUUAGUAGAACAGGUUCUCUUCAGUAUAUGCCCAUAAAUUGUCUGGCUUUCAAACUCCAUAUGCAAAUGAUAAAAUAUUACUAUAUUUUAUUUAUUCACAUCUGCCUUCGCAGUUAUAUAUCUGCCAGCAUUUCUUGCGCUCCUGAACAAGUGCAUUUCCCACCUUGCUCAGAAAUGAGCACCUUUCAGUAACAGUGCAGCUACUGGCAUCAGCUGUAGCUCUCUCACAUAUCCAGCCUUUCAGCACCCACCUUUUUUUUCUUUUUUUUUUUUCCCUUUCCCUUUUUGGAAAAUGCAGGUUUUUUGAUAGUACACCAUCAAAUGAGUGCCUGCAGUAGGUCAGUACCAAGAUUAUACAUCUGAAGCCGAGCCAGCUGCUGCAGUGGGGAGGCACUGGUUUAACAAAGCGAAUUCCAACCCCAGAAUUGCCAGGUUCUCAUCCAUGCACCUUCCUUGCAAGGACGCUACCUUGGUUAUUCUGAAUUAACUGGAAAAAUGCACAGACAUCACACAAAAUCAGAGUGCAUAAAAAAACAGUUUUCUAAUCCACAAGGAUACGUGCAUGCAUAGAUACACAGAGGAAGCCAGAAAUGUUUUUAGCCUAUUGACCAGCCUGGGAUUUCUCCCUCCCCACCCCCAGAAAUGCCACCCAGAGCCAAGAAGCUACAGCCACCCCAGAUGGAUGCAUUUCCCUGAGAAGUUUUGAUAAUUAGAGUGUGAGACAGCUGUAAAUAUCCCUGGGCAGCCCAGGAUGGAAGCUCCAGCUGGGUCACCUCACUUCCCACUCCCGAGCAGGAAGGUUCCCUCCAGGUCACCACACAGUGCUCUGCUCGGUAAAGGGAUUGGGUUAGUUAAGUCUAAUACAGACACGACCUCACCACUGCUCUGCUCCUGUAUUAUUCUGAAGUUGAGUACCAGAAAGAAGGCAGACAGAAAUCAGCUUUGAGUAUAACCUGAAAGAUUACUUAAGGGGUUACUUACAUUUAUUUUCUUUUUAAUUUUGUUUAUAUUGUCACUUUCAAUAUCUCGCUGGUGUUUGAGACAGGGCCCACGUUGGUAGAGUGGUAGGAAAGUGUUGCUUAGCAAAGGCAGUGGAAAUGGGAUUGCCUCUUGUGCUGUGUUCUUCUUGUAGUACAUUCUGUUAAGGUGAGCCUUUGUACAGAAGGGGGGCAGGAUGGAUAGAGCUGCCUUUCACACAGAUUGUUUUCCCAGGGAAAGGUUUGGUGAGUUAGAAUGCAACUCUGUGCAGUGCAUUUCUGCUUCCUUAUUAGGUCAUGACACAUUUUGGGGGGGAAACUGAGGCAACUUCUGCUUUUUGAAUGGAAUGUUUGGGCUUCUGGGGAUACAGGGAAGGCAGUGAUACAGCGUGUUUCCCUCUCUUUAUGGGGAAAAAAGUCCUGCAAGGUGCUAAGCGAUUGCUAGAAGAAGAUGGUAUGGGGAUUCCAUAUUAUCAUUCAGUACAAAAAAAGUUCUGUGCAUUCCGAGCUUUUCAGGUUUAUUUUUAUUCUGCUGUAAUGUCCUAUUUUCCUUUUACCUGCAUGAGGUUCUCAGGAAUGUAGGGUAUUCUCUCUUCUAAAAAAUUUUUAUGAUCUCCUGGCAUGAAAUGUUGCAAUGGUCCCUUCUGACCUUAAGAAAAAGAGUGCAGCGUUAUAUAUAACCACAGUCUAUUAUAAAUUUCCUACUUUAUUGCUCACACUGGAGCUGAACUCCUUCUUUAAAAGGGACGAACUGGUGACCUAGCUAAUUUGUAUAAACUGUAUUUAUCACAGCAGGUGCAGAUGUGGAGCAGAUCUCAGCCAAAAAUACUUUGUAUCAAGUCAACCUUGCUCAGCUUGCUAUGUUCCCCUAACCAAAAUUUAGGGACUUCUUAAGAAUACUUCCAGAGUCUUGGAGCAGAUAGGUAAUAUAUCUCCCUAACUGCACUGAAAUGAUUAUUAGAUUUCCUAACAUGCUGACUAUAAAAGUGAAACCCGUGGUUUAAUCUCUACUCGUUGUGCAGUAUAUUUUAAUAUAACUCAUGGAAUGUAGUCUAAGGAAUAGGUGAGCAAUAUCACUUAGGCAGUACAAUACACAUUAAUACAGUUUCUUACCUUUUCACCUCCCCUCUUAAUACACAGAUAGCUAUUUUUAAUAUAUAAUAAGGUGAUCAAUAGUUUAUGCCCCUAGAGGUCUAUGACUUCUGUUGUAUGUAGUUCUGGUUAAUGUAAUGCAGUUGUUUCUGUAACACUCGCUAAAGUAGGCAAUUGCCUGCAGUUAAUUAGUGAAAACUGGAGUUUAUGCAUUUCAUUGGCACAUGUUGCAUCAAACUUUUUUAAAACAUAGUUUCAAAACUGUAUGUGGGGUAGGUGUGGGAAGCUCCUCUUCACAAAGAGGACACUGGGAGGCCACUUAACAGUUAAAAACAGCAAAAUAGUAUAUUUCCAGGUAUAUUUUGAAGAAAAUGAGAUGCUUUAUAAACGAGAUCAGAUGGGGAAAAAAAUGCAUUUGCUCCUUUUCUGUUCGGGAAAAGCUCUUGACUGAUCUGUAAGUGAUAGCUGUGUGUUUUGUGCUAAUGGGAUACAAAACACCACUUGAAAGAGCUCAUACAAACAACUGAGGAAUGUAUCUUACGAAAGACACCAUCUCCUCUUAGAGGGGAUAAAUAUACACUGUUCAUUUCAAUGACCUGAUGAGUUUCAAGUACACUGAAAUUGAUCUAGUUCAGAUUUCUUAAAAUGCAUCUCUGAAUACAAAUGUUCAGAUCACUGGCUUUUCAUUAGUACAGAAAGGUUUUUGUAGGGUUAGCUCAACUAUGGAUUUUUCUCCCAAUGGAAGGCCACGUAGUAGAUGUGUGAGCACAGCUAGUUUUAACCAGUGAUGUUAAUCUGACUUCUGAUUCCCAAACUUGCAGUUCUAGGGCACAGGGAGAGGCAACCCACGAGCUGUCCUGGGGUUCUAUCCCAUCUGCAAUACUGAGAAUACCUUGAAGAGCAGGAUGCCUCCCUCCAAUUCUCAGCUCUGGUGUCCCUCUAGAGACAAAUCUCAGCAACUGAUCUGUAGUUCACAGUUGGGCCAGCCUGGGUUUUUGGAGAUGUAUGUGAAGAUUGCUCCAGUGAAGAGCUUCAGCUCCACAAAGAGCAAGUGAGGAUGCCUGAAACUUAACGUGGUUUUCCUCAAUACCCGGGGAAAACAUAAAACUACAGUUUCUGUAUAACGAAGUUGAAGACAUCUCCACGUGCAUGGAAGGGUUCAUAUAGUCAUCUUCUUCCCAGUCACUGUCUUGGCGGCAGAUCCAUUAGCUCUGCUACACCUCUUGGUGUGUUGAUUGUUUGUUUGUUUUGUGAAGUAUUCACUGUCAGGUUGCCAGAAGCCUGUAUCUCCCACUUAGGGCUGCCCUACAGACAGUCCUUAUGUUCCUUCCCACCUGCUCUGACAGCCAACUUGAUGUUCUUUGGAAAGUUCAGCUCUGAAUGCACCCCCACACCACCCUCAGGCAAAAUGAAGUUAUCAAUCUUAUUUUGUUAAUGCUAAUAAAACUAAAUGUUAUAUAUAAUUUAGGUAGUUUAUGCCAUCUUAUUGAGAGAAGAUAAACAUACUGAGGCAUUAAAAUACCAUGGUAAUGCGUUAAGAGAUAAUCAGAAGUCAUAAAAUAGCGACAUAAAUUUCAAAGAGUACUGUAAUAUGCUUAAAAGUCAUUGAAAUGCGACAGCUGCACCCUUCAUUGUGUUUAGUGAGAAAAGGUUCCAUUUAUUUCCAAAUUACUAUUACUUUUGGAAGGGGUUUUAAUCAUGAAAGCUGAUCUGAUUGGCACUGUCCACACCGAAUCUUGUUGAAUAAAUAGUAUGGCACAUUUUACUAAUCAAUUGGAGAAAGCUGAAGAAAAGCUUAAGAAAAAGCAAUUAGACUUCUUGAAUAGUCUUGGUAUAAUCUUCAAAGCGUCAUUUAACAUAAACUGUUUCUUUUACCAGCUUGCUCGUUUACUUGUAGCAAAUGCAAUGGUAAUGACUGUCAGUUAAAUUUUUGUAUUAAUCUGAACUACAAAGUCACCGAGUGCAGUCAUGUAUGCUCUGCAUGACUUGUGGAGGCAGUGAAGAGAAUUCUUAAAGCAGAAAAGUAAUUUGGCAGAGUGGCUGCUAUAAAAUCUUCAGUGCAUGCUUAUUAUUGUUGAAACAGUUUUUCAGACCCACAAAUUAUAAAGCUAUGGAAUACACGUUUGCAUCAUUUUAUAUAAACUGCAGUAAUUCUAGCCACCAAAUUGCAGAUCUGCUCAAAGCAUUGAAGAGGGCAGAGAGAAGAAGGCUGAAUGACAACCAAUUUACAUGCAGUUUUAUUCCUGGACACCGCUUUGCCCACACAACAUAUGUUUUGUGCUGAAUUUAGAGGAACACUCGCGUCCAUUGUGUUGCAUUAGUCUAACACAAUGCAAUAACUGGUUCAGAUCUCAAACCCGUACUGUUUGAAAGCAACAAAAGACUCCAGAAGGAGGAAGCAGACAAAGCUUUAUUGCUUGCAAGUGAAACAAGCUUAUAUGUUUGAAAUAGCAUAAUUACUGACAUGGUUCAUUUACUGUUUUCACGCUGUGGAACACUUGAUGCAUUCCUGAUCUGCACCUAAACAAACACUUAUGGAGGAAAAAAAAAAUCAAACUCUAUAUGGCUGAGUUAUAGGACACUGUGUUCUUCUGAGACUCAUGUUGCAACUGAAAGCAUUGUUUUGUUUAUUUAAAAAAAACAAUGUCCACCCCCUCCCCCUAGGUAUUUUGGGUAAGAACAGGAAGACUGACGCUCAAGGGAAUACCUGCAAUGUGUCCUUUGAUACCACAACUGUAAUAUCCCACAGGUGAAGAGCAAUGCCAGCCAAAACAAAAGUAGAGUUACAGUUAAGAGGCGCUUUUAACCAGGUUUUACUUCCCCUAAAACUUUCCUGUGCUGUGCUCAGCCAUGGAAAGCCUUGAGUAACAUGGAGUUGGUGGUGGAAUACUAUGCAAACUAUGAAUUUAAAAACAAUAAUCCCAAAUAAAAUAACAUUGCUAAGAUCACUGUGUUUUCUUAUUAAUAUCUGAGAUUAGUAGCUAAUCUUAGCUAACCCUAAGUUAAUCUUUCCAGAGGAAUAGUGCUUAUCACACAACUCGGCUGGAAGCAGAACAUAUUUCAAACUGACUGCUGUAGAAAUAAGGGUUCCUACCAUUAGGUUUUAACUCCUUUCAACAUCAAUUCAACCUGUUCUCUGAAAUCCUAUUAUGCUUUUCCAGUAAGGUGUUAGGACAACGACUCAGGCUUGCUAUUUAUGGAGCUUGUAACUCUUAAAAUAUACUCUACAGUAAGUGGCUAUUCCUUUAAUCUGUGACCUUAAAAUUCAAAAAGAGUUGAUGUUUUCUUGCUCUUAUGUUCUGAGCUGCCCAUCGGGCACUGAUCUAAGUAGGCCAUUUGCUCAGGCUACUAGUAAAUGAGAUGGCAGAAUAUUUAGUGAGGACAUCAACCAUAUAUUUACUAAUACUGAAUUAUUUGCCAUCCAAUCCAUCCUCCCAACCCCUCCCUCUCCCCCCCAUGACAACUUUAGUGAGGGGCUAAUAACUAGGAUUAUUUCUUUUUGAAACUGAAGUAGAUUUAGUUGAGAAUGGUGAGGACAGGGAAAGAGAAACAAAAAUUGACAGCUGAAGUGGAGUUCUUUCAACCACAUAAAAAUGUGGUAAAGAACAGAGACAGAAAAUGGAAGAACAACAAAUUUCUCUGCCAAGUUUUCUCACUAUCAGACAUCAUAGAACAGCCUAGGGCACAACUUUGUGUCCAAGACAGGACAUGGCCCUGAGUUCACAGCCCACGGGCACCCAGAGAAGCACAGUUCCUUUGACUACAGACGCAUUGAGGCACACUGCUUUCCUCUCCUCCCAGCCUUGAUUUCUGCUUCCUAACAAUACCACUGCCUUGUAGCUCUUUACAAGUGAUUAGAAAAGGGAAAGCAGAAAAGUAAUAAUCAGUAGCAAGCAUGAGGAAGCCAGCUUGCUCCAUUCAGGAUGGAGUCGUGACCUCUAUAAAUGCAAAGCUAUCAAACAACUUUCUAGAUGACUUGGAAACACGUCAUUAGUCCCUGUCACACUGGGACUUAGCUUAUUGUGGAAAAGUCAUUAGCUUCUUUUCAGAUUCUCUGGAGAAUUUCCAAAACCUAGCCCUUGCAGUUCCUCAGGUCGUUCAUAUGUAAUUUCUUAUUUCAGCCCUCAUUAGUUAGUACAGUAUGCAUUGUUCUGAGCUUAAAUUCAUAAUUAUGGUAGCCCAGUAAGGCAGAGCAGUCAUAUGCUCUGCCGUCAUGGCUUCCACUUCUAAAUGGAGUUAGACAAUACCACAACAACACUUAUAAUACAAUAACACCAGCCCUCCACUGAGCUUAUAGGACUUAUAAAAGCUUCCAAAUUUAGAGAGCUGUUAUACACAGCCAGCUCAUAACACGACCAUCCAACAGAUCUGUAUGUGUGAGGCCAUUUUAAUUUCACUCCAAGCGCUGCAUUUAAAAUCCUGACCUUUUACCUUAAAAAAUUUCUUUUCUUUAAUAAAUAAGUAAAGGAUAAAGUUAGUUGUUUAUAUCAGACUGGUUGUCUGACUCUGGAAAUUACCUUCAGCAAUAUUCACUGCCUAUUUUGUCCAUGAAUAUUUUGACUGGGACCACAGCUUUUAGUGUUUCAUUGGUGCAGCCUUGCUAUAAUCUACAGUUUCACUCAGAGCCCUUCCUAUCUUCUUUCUGUGAUAAUGUGGCCUUCUCACAUUUCUCUCC
rnacentral:lncRNA from 1 species